UCGAGAAUAGUCUACAAUGGUCGAAAGACUGAUAGUGCGACGCCGCGUGAACGAAGAAGCCCUUCGGGGUGUAAAGUUCUUUUAUAUGUGAGCAAUGCCUUUUAUGUGAAUAGCAUGAGAGGAGCGAUAUUAGCAUAUGAAUAAGCAACGGCUAACUCCGUGCCAGCAGCCGCGGUAACACGGGGGUUGCGAGCGUUGUCCGGAAUUACUAGGCGUAAAGGGCAGGUAGGCGGAUAGAUAAGUUUGAUGUUAAAGGCGACGGCUCACCCGUCGUAAGGCAUUAGAUACUGUUUAUCUGGAAUGCGGUUGGGGAAGACAGAAUUCCUGGUGUAGCGGUGGAAUGCGCAGAGAUCAGGAGGAAUACCAAAGGCGAAGGCAGUCUUCUAAGCCGUUAUUGACGCUAAACUGCGAAGGUGUGGGUAUCAAACA
rnacentral:rRNA from 1 species